AAGUGGAAUCCACUUGUGGCGUCUUAAUUAAUUCGACUCUCGAUUCCUUUGCUCCAGUUUGAAUUCAACUUGAUUGAUCAGGUAGCCGAAGAGAUUUGCCAGCGAGAUGAUCGAAUUUCAGCUUAAACGGGUAUUUCAGCGCAAACUCGCGGAAUGAUAACCAGUGGUUAACCAACGCGGAACGAUUAAUAGAGACUAGAAUAGUGAAGCGAAUCAGAUAGAAACGGUCUAUCGAUCAGCUUUGACGUGUGUGUUCCUUGAUAAGCCAAUUGUAUCAUUUUGUGCAUCGCUGUCCAGUGAUGAAAAUCGUCAAC